CGUGAAGCCAGAGCUGUCGCCGCUCUCGGAGGUAAAGAAGACUGGAGCUUGGCGGCCAUAUUUGAAGUGGGUAAGAAGCCGCAAAGGGCCGCGUUCACAAGCUCGCGCACAGAGUUUUCGGGAGAUUGAAGGGGAAGCUGCCUAUUGAAGUUUGACUUCUCAGACUUCCAUGCUGUGAAAAACCCAGCCUAACCACAAGGAGGAGCACUGAGAACUUGGCUAACAGCUCCAGUUAAGCUCCCAGCCAACAGUUACCACCAACACUACAGCUCUAUGAAGAAGGCCAUUUUUGGAAGUGGGUUCUUCAGCCUACUGGAGCUAAUUUAAGAGUGACUCCAUGUGGAGGGAGAUAGGCUGCUUGCUCUGCCUAGCUCUGCCCAAGUUGCAAAAUGACAAGCAAAUACAGUGAUUGUGGUUGUAAGCCACUAAGUUUUGGAGUACUUUGCUGUGUGGCAGUAGAUCACUGAAAUGUAUUCUAACGUUAAUGUGACUAGGUAUUUGUAUUUGGGAAGAGAGCAUUUCCUUACUACUAAAGCUAACAGGUCUGCUAUGGAGGUUCCUUA